rnacentral:rRNA from 1 species
CCUACGGGAGGCAGCAGUAGGGAAUCUUUCACAAUGGGCGAAAGCCUGAUGGAGCAACGCCGCGUGCAGGAUGAAGGCCUUCGGGUUGUAAACUGCUUUUAUAAGCGAGAAAUAUGAUGGUAACUUAUGAAUAAGGAUCGGCUAACUACGUGCCAGCAGCCGCGGUCAUACGUAGGAUCCGAGCAUUAUCCGGAGUGACUGGGUGUAAAGAGUUGCGUAGGUGGCAUAAUAAGUAGCUAGUGAAAUCUGGUGGCUCAACCAUUAAGACUAUUAGCUAAACUGUUAAGCUCGAGACCGUUAGGGGUAACUGGAAUUUCUAGUGUAGGAGUGAAAUCCGUAGAUAUUAGAAGGAACACCAAUAGCGUAGGCAGGUUGCUGGGACGGUUCUGACACUAAGGCACGAAAGCGUAGGGAGCAAACGGGAUUAGAUACCCCAGUAGUC